AAGCGCUCGCAAACUUGAAAGUGCCUUUAAAACGAUGGCAAAGCGCUCGCAAACUUGAAAGUGCCUUUAAAAAACGAUGGCAAAGCGCUCGCAAACUUGAAAGCUCUUUAAAAACGAUGGCAAAGCUCUUGCAAACUUGAAAGUGCCUUUAAAACGAUGGCAAAGCGCUCGCAAACUUGAAAGGCUUUAAAAAACGAUGGCAAAGCGCUUGCAAAUUUGAAAGCUCUUUAAAAACGAUGGCAAAGCACUUGCAAGAUGCCAAAGCGCUUGCAAGCUUGAAAGCGCUUUUAAAACGAUGGCAAAGCGCUCGCAAACUUGAAAGCGCUUUUAAAACGAUGGCAAAGCGCUCGCAAACUUGAAAGCGCCUUUAAAACGAUGGCAAAGCGCUCGCAAACUUGAAAGUGCCUUUAAAACGAUGGCAAAGCUCUCGCAAACUUGAAAGGCUUUAAAAAACGAUGGCAAAGCGCUCGCAAACUUGAAAGGCUUUAAAAAACGAUGGCAAAGCGCUCGCAAACUUGAAAGUGCCUUUAAAACGAUGGCAAAGCGCUCGCAAACUUGAAAGGCUUUAAAAACGAUGGCAAAGCGCUCGCAAACUUGAAAGGCUUUAAAAACGAUGGCAAAGCGCUCGCAAACUUGAAAGGCUUUAAAAAACGAUGGCAAAGCGCUCGCAAACUUGAAAGGCUUUAAAAACGAUGGCAAAGCGCUCGCAAACUUGAAAGCGCUUUUAAAACGAUGGCAAAGCGCUCGCAAACUUGAAAGUGCCUUUAAAACGAUGGCAAAGCGCUCGCAAACUUGAAAGGCUUUAAAAAACGAUGGCAAAGCGCUCGCAAACUUGAAAGCUCUUUAAAAACCAUGGCAAAGCGCUCGCAAACUUGAAAGCUCUUUAAAAACGAUGGCAAAGCGCUUGCAAACUUGAAAGGCUUUAAAAACAAUAGCUAUACGAAUGUUUGUGGCAGCCCUCUUUGUAGUGGCUAGAAGCUGGAAACUGAGUGGAUGCCCAUCAGUUGGAGAAUGGCUGAAUAAAUUGUGGC
rnacentral:lncRNA from 1 species